rnacentral:rRNA from 1 species
UUCCAGACUCCUACGGGAGGCAGCAGUGGGGAAUAUUGGGCAAUGGGCGAAAGCCUGACCCAGCAAUGCCGCGUGAAUGAAGAAGGUCUUAGGAUUGUAAAAUUCUGUCCUAUGGGAAGAAACAAAUGACGGUACCAUAGGAGGAAGCCCCGGCUAACUACGUGCCAGCAGCCGCGGUAAUACGUAGGGGGCAAGCGUUAUCCGGAUUUACUGGGUGUAAAGGGAGCGUAGACGGCAGUGCAAGUCUGGAGUGAAAGGCGGGGGCUCAACCCCCGGACUGCUCUGGAAACUGUACGGCUGGAGUGCAGGAGAGGUAAGUGGAAUUCCUAGUGUAGCGGUGAAAUGCGUAGAUAUUAGGAGGAACACCAGUGGCGAAGGCGGCUUACUGGACUGUAACUGACGUUGAGGCUCGAAAGCGUGGGGAGCAAACAGGAUUAGAUACCCCGGUA